AAGGAAUAAAAUAAAAUGAAAAAUAAUAUGAAAUAAAAGCUAUGUGGAUUUGGAAAAAAAAGUUUUAAAUUUAAUUUGUGUGUACUUUUUUGGUUAGUUUUAUUGCACUUGCAGUGCUUGAAAUGUUUGCUUUAGGAGUCGGAAAAACAUGUGCUUCAACAAGUGUUUAACAAUUGAAAUGAAGCUAAAUGAUUGUUUUUAUAAUAUCAGCAAUGAUGAUAAGUUAUUUACAGGCAGCAUAAAAGAAACUUUAUUAAAAACUGUAUGGAAGAUUUACACAGAGGGGGAGUAGAAAUGGCAUUUACGUAUGUCAUCAGACAGCAUUAAAAAUAUGUUUAACGAAUGUGACACAUACAAUUUUCUACGCAAGGAUAAGCGCAAUUGGUUUACUGUUGAUGACACUUGCAGCUCUGGAGAUGUCGUUGAUGGUUUUGAUUAAUAACUUGACCAUCUUUUUGAGUUCUGUUUUUAAUGGAAAAAACGUAAUUUUUAGGAAUAGUAUUCUAGUAAACUACUAUACCAAUCUUUUAAAUAUUUGGAACAUAGAUUCGAGAAUAUGAUGUUAAGAAUUCCAUAAAAAAACUGAAUACAAAACAAAACAAAAAAACCAGAGGAAUAAUGGUUCUUUAGUGAAAAGGAUUAUUCUUAUGUAAUUGAUAAGUAAAAAUAGGUUGUGGCGAUGGUGCUCUCAUUGUUUUAAAUGUACUUGCCAAUCACAAGGAUGAUGUUGCAGACAAAUAUUAUACAAAUAUAUAAAGAUUAUAGAUGUAUUUUUAGGAUAGCUAUCAUCGAGCAGUCGUAGCAGUUGUAGCAGUGAAUUUUUUCAAUUUCAUUGCUAGCAGUACAAAUAAGAUUUUUUGUUUGUAUUGGAUUCUGCAUACCCAAAUCUUCAAAAUUUAACUACUUCAUAUAUAGAUAAUACGUAUUCUACAAGGGCAAGGAAAAACUAAGAAAAACAAGGGUAAACACAGUAUGGUUUCAUCAUUGUAUAUUAUGUACUGCAAAACAUUAUUAACAAAAUGAGUCUGCAAAAACGGUCGGCUCCACGUCCCGCACCGACUCGUCGCCAACGACGACCAAGUGCCGUACGACACCUCCCAAAGGGACUUCACAAGCAGGUCCCAGCGGGUUACAACAACAACAUUAUCAAAAUGAAUUGCAGUUUGCUUUUGAAACAACCAUAGAAGAGUACAAAUAUAAAAACAAUCAAUAUAAAAGUCUUAGAAGAAUUCGUUAAGGAAUGCUAUUCUAUAAUAAGUAUACAUGUGAAUGUUGAUUUCAAAUAAAAUUUGUACAUGUUUUUUAUUCAAAAAAUUAU